AGCAGCCGCGGUAAUUCCAGCUCCAAUAGCGUAUAUUAAAGUUGCUGCAGUUAAAAAGCUCGUAGUUGAAUUUCGGGAUCAAUAUGUUGGUCGUGCCUCGGUACGUACUAGCUUAUUGGUUUCUUCCUUCUGACGAACCAUAAUGUCAUUUAUUUGGUGUUAUGGGGAAUCAGGACUGUUACUUUGAAAAAUUAGAGUGUUUAAAGCAGGCUCACGCUUGAAUACAUUAGCAUGGAAUAAUGAAAUAGGACGUUUGAUUCUAUUUUGUUGGUUUCUAGGAUCGACGUAAUGAUUAAUAGGGAUAGUUGGGGGCAUUAGUAUUCAAUUGUCAGAGGUGAAAUUCUUGGAUUUAUUGAAGACUAACUACUGCGAAAGCAUUUGCCAAGGAUGUUUUCAUUAAUCAAGAACGAAAGUUAGGGGAUCGAAGACGAUCAGAUACCGUCGUAGUCUUAACCAUAAACUAUGCCGACUAGGGAUCGGAUGAUGUUAAUUUUUAA
rnacentral:rRNA from 1 species